AGCAUUCGGAUGCAUGUCUCUAUUAAACUUCUCCAUCAGCCUGACUAAUUCCUUACAUUUAUCACAUGUGAAUCCCUCACUGCUGACGGAGGAGGCUAUUGUAAACAUGUGACAUGCAAUGCAGGAAGAAAUAACAUGAGCAGUGAGGGUUUGAGAUGUUAAGGAUUAAAGGCUGAAAACAGAUAUAUAAGCUAUGCUAAAAAACUAGCAGGCUACAAACACAGACUCUAGCUAGGUGCCAGCAGCAACAGGUAAAAUACAUGCAGAUGAAACAGUAGAAAAGCAGAAAAACCUGAAACGUUUGAGAAUUAGAAUAAGAAUAAGCAAUGCUAAGCAGGCUACAAACAAACUCUCGUGCAGCGUGCCGUCAACAGAAGAAGACGUUUGUAUACAUUGGUGCUUGGGGAAGCGGUGCAUAGAUCGCUACUUUUGUUCAAACUGGAGUUAAUUAACAUUUAUUGUAAUCUGGUUUCUGCUAUUUUGAUUGUACAGAACUUUGGUCAACUGUUGCUGUUUUUAAAUGUGCUUUAUAGAUCAAUUUGACUUUUUUUAUACAAAUAUUAUAAGCAAUUAUGCAGAUACUGUAAAUACUUAAUUAUUACUUCACCUCAUGUCUCUUAGUAUUUUUCCUUUUAGCAGAUGAGCAAGUUGAUUGCAGGCCCUUCAAUGAGACGCCACAAGAUGGAAGAAAUGGUAUGUAUAUCAGUAUAAUAAGAUUUAUAUGUUAAGUGUUACAUGGAUUCAGGUUGACACUUAAUCAAAUUGUCUAAUGAUGCCAUUGCCAUUUCCACACUGGCCAACUGUAUAUAAGAAAAGUAAAAGUUGUUACUUGCUAAUCUGGAAAGUAACAGUCAUUUUAGAGCUACAUUACGAUCUGUAACUCUAAAAAUUAAUGUCAGGUACAGCAUGGCAACAAAUAGCCACCAAGGUUCGCAAUAUGCAGAAAAUAACGUUGGACAAAUCUAAGUUAGCCAUUAAGCUAUGAGUAGCUUUACAAGCUAUUGCUGCUGCAGCAUACAUGAAAUAUUUAAAGUUUAUAUGGUAUUUUACCAUUUGUGAAACAUAAUGAUAAUUAUACAUAUAUUGUGUAAGCUGUUAUGCAACAACCACUUCUUGUUUAAAAACAACAGCUUCUAAUGGUCUUACCACCACAGAUUUUGAAAUUGUGUACAAGGCAUAAGGGUCAAUGAAGGGUAUCACAUUUUUAAUUUAGCUUAAUUAACCACCUCUCAUGCCUUUUGUAAAAUAAAAUGAUAUAUUACUUUUUCAAAAGUACUUGUGUUCUUGUCAUCAGCUCUGUGUGCUUCUUUACAGUAGCACUUUCGCACAGCAUGGGAGAACACUACUAAUUAAUUGCAAAGACAAUGUUGAAUACACAUACACAAGCAGCAUAUUCUAAAACCAUUAUUUGUUGUGGUAUUUAGAACCCAUGUUUGAAAGCCAGAGAGCCUUUAAUGGGAAGUUAAAAGGAACAUAUACAGACUUCACAGUCAUUGUUGAUGUAUUUCCUCUGAAUCUAACAAUUUAUAGCAAACAAACUCCCCCUCAUGCAGUUAGCUAGGUGCGGUCAACAAGAAGCUGCCUGAGGUACACAAAAUAGAGAUAGAAAAACACAGAUAUGCACAGCUGAAAUUAAACAGAUAGUUGGUUAUGGCAUCUUGUACUAUUCCACACUCUGUAAUGAAGGUCACAGGGAAUCAAAAAUUUAAAGACAAAAUAUAAACAUUUAAUAGACACAAAAUAUGAUUUUAUGAAUUUUCUAUCACACUCCUCCCUUUUGAUUAUUUUUUGUCAACUACCUACGUUCUUGAAACUAUAUUUACAUUAUUUCGUACUAAUACAUCAGACAUGUUAAUCCUCAUGGUUCAAAACAUGUCAUCACUUUGUAGAAAGAAGAAAUGCUUAUGCUGUUUUUGCAAGACAUGACAUAAGUCAUGAGCAAGCAUAGAAUACAUACACUUCCAUCAUCACAUUCCCUAUCCUACAUGCAUUAUCUCAUAACAUGGAUAAUUGCGGCUUUUAACACUCUUUACACUUCAUAAUCAUCUUCACUUUAUUCACUUUCAGUCUCCUCAUCGUGGGGUCCCAUGGAGGUCUUGGAUUUAAAUCUGGAUAGUCUUCAUUUUGCGCAUUCAUAUUAAGCAAGGUGUAACUACCUAAAGAAUUGGUUAUCAUUCUGGUUAUCAAUGAUCGUACACAUGUAAUUACACAACAGAUCAACAAUGCUAUUAUCAGUAAUAUUAUCCCCAUUGGAAGUAAUGCUUUUAAAAACAUCUUUUCCCAGCCAUUUAACCAUGCCAAAAGUCCUCCUGUUUCAUCUACAGUUUCUCUUGCUGUCAGACCUGCUGAUAUUUUUGUCAUGUUUUUAAACCCAUUUCAAUAGCGUGUCCAUCUUCAUCGUUCUCCGGAGUGAAAGUGCAGCAACUUGUUCCCACUAUAACACAUACUCCUCCACUUGCUGCAGUCAAUUGGACCAGUACCAGCCGGUUCUGUAAUGCUGUCAACCUUACUCCCUUAAGCUCAUCUCUUAUUACGGUGAUCAUGCUUUUCGUUGUGUUUAAGAAUGAAAUCAGUUCAUACCUGGUCAUUUCCACUUCAUUUUGUAUUGAUGCCACUCCAAUAGGAGACUUUAAUGCAUUCAAGAACUUCUCUGUCCCUGUCCAUAAUGUUGCAGCUAGUCAGGUUGGUUGUUAGAUUUGCUUUGGUUGUUUGCUCUGCUGUAUGUUUUUCUGUUUCUGACACAAUCACUGAUUACUACUACUGCUAUUAAUGUUAACACACAUGUUGCUCCCCUUAACCCACAGAGACCUGGGAGUCUCGUAGGAGGCCACGGUCGCGGCCUAUCCAUCUUCUCGAGCAAAGGGUGGAUGGAGCAAAUUUGGGGGUACUAUUAGGAUGCUUUCACCUCAGGGUUAACCCCUGGAGCCUAUUGCUUCCAGUUCCUCCCUUUGGCACUCUGAUGCUAGUCUCACUGUUCUAGUUAGGGGGGUAAUCUGUGGUGAUAUAUCGCACAAUGCUUUGCUAUCUACUGUAUUCGGAUUUAGCUCCACCCCUACUUUGAGUUUAAUAAACAGGAAAAUUGCAUUGUCUGAUUUUCUGUAAUUUUUAUGUUAUGUGACCAAUUUUAUGGAUUAGUUUCUUUUGAAUUACAUUUUUGACAUACCUUAAGGCAAUACGUCACCAAAAUUACAACCAAUGGUUGAUUCAAAUCAUGAUAAUAAAAAAACGAAUUGCAAUGCCUGGCUGAACUAGUGUCCGAAGUGAAAGAACCACUAGAGGUCCAGGGUUUCAUAAGACGGCAGCUACCAAUCUCUCCCCUAUUACCUCACUUGUUCCCUCUAUAAGACUUGACCGAGUUAGAAGAAGCUGAGCGGAUUCUUCAGAGUGAAGAUGCCAGAAGUGUGAUGGUUGGCCGUUUUGCUAUUGUGGGAGGAGCAUCAGUUGAGGCACACAUUAGAAGGAUGCUGGCCUGUACUCUAACCAACGAGCUGGCCUCACAGAUGAACAGGGAAGGAAAGAAACUGAAAGAUGAGCAUAAACAAAAAAAGCAUUCAGAGACACAAGGCUCAAGGUGUGCGUAUCUGAUGCCUUACUACAACAGGUGAAAGCUGAUAAAAAAGGAGGCCUCUGAGUUUGUCUUUGCUGUGACAGUGCAUAAAUGGCUCAGUUAUCCCCCUGAACGGCUUGGGGCAUUAUUUGUGGUGGAAACCCCUGAAUUUAUCAGAGUAUAUAUUUUAUGAGGAGUAUAAGGCCAUCCUUUUCACAUCAGAAGCUUCAGUCCUUGAAAAACUCCUGAAAAUUCCUGAACAGUAGUAAUGUUAGUUAGUACUGUGGUGUUUCAGUCUUUGUUGGUUAGUUCCCAUUUACAUUUACAUCCAUUUUGCAGAUGGAGGUUGCAUGAUGUCAUGGUUUUCCAGGCUCUUCUCCUGGUAGUUACAUUCUGCUUUAUGAAUUCUGAAUUAACAAUUCCAUCUAAUUGUUUUAAGUCACUCUCAUGCGGUUUAUCAUAAUCUGUACAAGUUAUUUUAAGCUCUAUACAUUUUAAAGUCACCAUGAAAUGCCAUUUUUAGAACCUCUCUAUUUUCCCCAAAUGUGAUGUUAUUUCCUGUUCAAAUAGUGUGGAGGCAUAAAUAAAUAAA